rnacentral:lncRNA from 1 species
UACGAUCAGCAGGGCGAGGAGGGUUUGAGGAGAGGUGCAGCGCAGCCUCCUCAUUCACCUGGGUCUGGCGGCAUGAACGGCAGGUGCCCUGACCCAUUCACGCAGUUUUUCGGGCCAGGGACCGGCAGGUCUCGGGUUACGGAGUCUGUGAAACCGGAAGAGAUAUUCUCGACGUUUUACGGCGGAGGGACGAUAGGGGUAAAUGGAUUCAAGUCGUUUGCAUGCACGGACUCAGGACCUGGAAAUGGGCCGAGGAAAGCCGCGGCGAUUGAGAGGACAUUACCUUGUACUUUGGAGGAACUGUAUAAGGGCGCCACCAAGAAGCUGAAGAUUUCUAGGGAUAUUCUUGGUGCUAGUGGGUAAGUCCCUCCUUCCCUUUUUUCAUGAAUAUAUAUUUUUCGUUUAAUUUUGUGAUCUGGGAAGUACUUGUUUUGGUUGCAUGAUCUAAUAGAAAGGAACUUUGAAGUAAAUUUAAAUGUUCUUUUUUUUAUUUGGUGCAGAAGAAAAAGCACAGUGGAGGAAGUUCUAACAAUCGAGAUCAAGCCAGGGUGGAAAAAGGGCACGAAAAUCACUUUCCCAGAGAAAGGGCACGACACACGGCGAGGUGUUAUACCAGCAGACAUUGUCUUCAUCAUCGAUGAGAAUCCUCACGAUGUUUUCAAGAGGGACGGGGACGAUCUGAUUGUCACUCGGAAGAUUUCUCUCGCGGAGGCUCUGACGGGUCACACCGCGCAGCUGACAGCCCUAGACGGGAGAAAUUUGAGUGUCUCUAUUGAUUCCAUUAUCAGCCAGACCCAUGAAGAAGUGGUUAGAGGGGAGGGGAUGCCUAUCCCGAAGGAACAAUCCAAGAAGGGGAACUUGAUUGUCAAGUUUAGCCUCAAGUUCCCUAAGCUCACCUCGGAGCAGAAAACCGGCAUCAGAAUGUUGCUGACAUCUUUAUAAACGCCGGUUGUUGAGUCGUAGCAGUCCGUAUUAUCUUCCUAAAGUAGUUUAAGCUUUCCUAGGUGUUCUAAUUAAGUAGGUGUUUGGUGUGUUUGCUUGUGUAACAAGUAGAUUGCUGCUCUAUCAGCAAUGACAAAAAAUCCUUUCAUGUCUGUAUGUUUUCAGUGUGUUUAAUUUCUUCACAUCUAAAUAUUUUCGGAUGAAACCUUGUGCGAUAGAACGAGAAAUAGCUGCAAUUGAACCAACACCGAAACACGAUGCAGUUCCAAUUAGUGCAAUUUCCGCCCACGGGUUUUGAGAAAAUUAUAACACUGAAACAACAUACGUAUCCCAAAUCCACAAAAACCUAAUAAAAACAAUGACAGUUUAUACCGGAGCUCAAACCAAUUGCUGGAGCUGCCGUGCCGGUAUUCUUUCUGGUUAGACUAAACUUGUUUCAUCAGCUCAGCAUGGUUCUCCAGCAUUGCACUCAUCACGUUCGAGAUUUCCAUCUCUUGCAUAUGAAACUGUCUUAACAUUUCUAUAUGAAGGUUCCUCGUAUCCUCAUCUACGGACUUGCAAAAAGAAUGGUGAGUUUCUUGCAGAGAACAUCGAAGAAUCUGAAAUGCAAAGGAAUUUCCCUGCUGUGCAUCUUGUUGAUGCACAUUUUGGAGAUGCCAAGUUCCUCCGUCCAUUGCUGGAAGAUCCCCUCACACCUAAUCGUUAAAGGAGUAUUUUUGAUAUCGGCAGUCAACAGCGCAAAAUGUAAAUGUUGAUAUCCAUUCAUAUUCAUAAAGCAUAUGGACAGGUUCACUAAAACCGUUGAUUAGUUUAACACGUAUGGAUGACUAAACAAUUUUAAAAUUGAAUGAUUUUGUCUAGAUAUGAUAUUCUGAUAAUGAUAUUCAAAUGAUGAUAAAGAGAAUGACCAUUUUCGAUUAUAAUGUUCUGACGAUAAAAUUUCGUUAAUCGUAAACGAGGAACAAGUAAAUUUCCCAUAAGAGGACAUAAGCAUUAUCCUUGUUUAUUUUUCCUAAUAAAGCCCUUUUGAUACAUGUAACUACAAAGGAACAUAACCGACCAAAUCGGUCACUAUCAAAUUGGUUUAACUGGUUCGUACUAACUAAUUUGAGGUGUAAACGGAACCAAACCGGUUGACAACUACACCUACUCACCCAUACAAAAAAAAACCCAAGAAAGUUGGGGCCAAAUUGCAAAAUUAGAACUAGUGUUGAGACGCCCAUAAGUUGGGGCCUAAUUGCAAAUUAGAACUAGUAUAGAGGCAUCUAUGUGAAAUUGAUACAAUAUAUGUCCUUGCUAAAUUACAACAAAUUACGUAAUGAAACGAUAUUAUAAGAAACGGUACUUAAAUUCUCCUCAAAAUCGUACUCCGAAUAAAUUAUAAAUGCAUUAGUAUUGUCUAAUAUCUGACUAUCUAAAUUUUGACAAAAGCUAAGGACUUUUGUUAUACACUUUCUAUCAUAAUCCAAUAUCACCAAAGGCAAAAGGCAAAUUGUUUUUCGAAAAUACUGGUAUCAUACUUAAAAAAAAAUUUAUAAUUCUUAAAAACAACUUGGAUGAACUUCUUUCAAGAGCAAUUUUUUUUUACAACCCAAAAACUUGUUUGUUCAAAACCAUUAGGUGGCAGUGGUUGAGGGAGGAUAUUAAGGUCGGGUUGGGAUCCGAGAAGCGACCAGGAAAAUACUCACCAAGACCCAAUAUCUUGACGGUUUGAUUUGGAACUCUCAAUUUCACACUUCAUACUAUGAAGUCAUGUUGUCUUCAGAUGGGUUUUGUUCACAUAUAUGGUGGUAGGUUGCUAAUAUCAAAUGUUGCCAUUGAAAUUGAGCAAAUUGAGUUUGAAGUAAAGCCUUGGUAAUGGCGGAGAGGUGAGGUUGGGGCUUGCGGGUGGUUAGAGUGAGGGGAUGGUGGGUUAGGGAUGGUGGGAAGAAAAUACCUCAGUCACCGGAAAGAUCCAUGCCAUGGUCGCCGGAGCAUCUCUCAGUUGCCGUAAACAUAUCUCUCAUCACCGCCAGUUACUCUCAGUUGGUGUUUGUGUUGGGACUACCUAAGAAUUAACAAUUAACCCUAAAUCACAAUGUGAUAUAUAUAAUAGGAAGAUGUACCUGUUGAAGCCAUCGUGGUUGUCAAAAGAACUUUUCUACUCACUCAAGCCCUUUAUGCUCUUAUGGUGAUAGAACCUUAGACUUAGAACCCAUACUUUGUGAGUAGGGAAUCCCUUUUAUUUAUUGAUGACUGGUAGCCAACUUCCAUCUAUCAUAGGUGCGUUGGUUAUCGUCCCAUAUCAUCACAACCUGGAAGUUAUUGAGUAGUGGAAGAACGGUUUGUAUUCAAAGCAUUUUGGAUGUGUUUCCAUGAUUAUAGGACGCUAGUAUUCCACGUAUACAACUCAUUGAUGAAUUUAAAUUUAUUUUUAUCAACAUAUAUCUUAGUCCUUAUCACAACAAGUUGAGUCCAUAUAGGAUUCUUAUAGUUUGGUGUUUGGUGUCGCUGGCCUCGAUGCCAAGGUCCUGUAGAUGUUGUGAAGAAGAAAAAAAAAACAGUAAAAAUAGACUUUUGUUAUUCUCAUAUUUUAGGCUAGUUUUUGAGUUCAAGUUCUGCAAAACAAGCUUACCAAGCAAAUUUUUGAGUUGUGAAUUGAGAAACAGUUUUUGAGUUAAAAACCUUGAACUCAAAUAGAAUACCAAACAAGGUCUAAAUUACUUCUCCUCUCUUAUCCAAAAAAAAAGUGAACCCUCGAGGAAGUUGUUUUUCAUGUGCUCCAAAACCCCUCAACGAGGAGUUCAUGAGCAAAAGCAAAAGCAAAAGCCAUCAACUUUUCUUGAAAAGCAGCUGCUCAACCAAAUAGUCUUCUGCUGUAGUAACUCAAGCCACUGUACUGGUACCUUGCCUCGGAAGGCUUGCGAAAAUACCCUUUUGCCCCUCUGCUUUUGCAUAUUCCAUCCAACACUGUGACCCUGCUCUGUUUUCUUUGUCUGAUCAAUAAUUGAGCUCGCUAUCUAAAUAUGGUCGCACUUGAAGCUUUAGUCACAGUUCAGAGAGUUUAGACCAACAGAAAAUCCAACGGUUUUGAUUGAGCAGAAAGAGAGAGCAGUGACCGUCGAUUACUACAAGCUUCUUCAAGUUCAACGAAACGCCAGAGACGUGAGGAAAGUGGCCGAGGCCAAGCUCAAUCUAAUCAACGAUGCCUACAAGGUAUGUGAUCAUUCGGAUUUCAGUUUCCUUUUUCCUAGUAAGCGAUAUUCUAGACCACUCUAAUUUGUUGGCGGCAUAGAUGGUCUUUGUUGAUACUAUUUUUUUAUAAUAACACUUAUGCUCAUAAACGCUUUCCAACGUAAAGAUGGUCUCGUUUGAAACUGUUUAUGUAGAAAACAGUUUUAUAUACAAGUGCUUUUAUUAGAAGUGAUUUUAGUAAAGCCCUUGUUAAUAAAUUUCAAGCACUUGGAAGUGGUGCUUCUUCAUGAAUCAAAAGCGCUUUCAGUUGUAGUAUGCAGAAUGGGCAGGAAUUGCUGCAAAUUACGAUUUUAGUUUAUUUUAACUGAAAUUUGUUGCUAAUUAUGGGUAAAUGGGCAGGUUUUGAGUGAUCCCAAAAAACGAGUGGUGUACGAUCAGCAGGGCAAUGAGGGUUUGAGGAGAGGGGCAACGCAGCCUUCUCAUUCACCCAGGUCUGGCCGCAUGAACGGCAAGUGCCCUGACCCAUUCACACAAUUUUUCGGGGCAUGGACUGACAUGGCUCAGGUUACGUCUCGGGUUAUGGAGUCCGUGGAACCAGAAGAGAUAUUCUCGAUGUUUUUAGUUGGAGAGACGAUAGGGGAAAAUGGAUUCCAAUGGUUUGAAUGCACGGACUCAGGACCUGGAAAUGGGUCGAGGAAAGCCGUGACGAUUAAGAGGACAUUACCUUGUACUUUGGAGGAACUGUAUAAGGGCGCCACCAAGAAGCUAAAGAUUUCUAGGGAUGUUCUUGGUGUUAAUGGGUAAGUCCAUUCUUCCUUUUUUUCAUGAAUCUAUAUUUUUUGUUUAAUUUUGUGCUCUGGGAAGUAAUUUUUUGGUG